rnacentral:rRNA from 1 species
GUGGAUUAGAUACCCUGGUAGUCCACGCCCUAAACGAUGAUCACUGGGUGUUGGGGAAGCGAUUCCUUGGUACCGUAGCUAACGCGUGAAGUGAUCCGCCUGGGGAGUACGGUCGCAAGAUUAAAACUCAAAGGAAUUGACGGGGACCCGCACAAGCGGUGGAUGAUGUGGAUUAAUUCGAUGCAACGCGAACAACCUUACCUACCCUUGACAUGUCCGGAACCCUGCUGAGAGGUGGGGGUGCCCGAAAGGGAAUCGGAACACAGGUGCUGCACGGCCGUCGACAACU